rnacentral:rRNA from 1 species
CGUAGCCGCGGUAAUACGGAGGGUGCAAGCGUUAAUCGGAAUUACUGGGCGUAAAGCGCACGCAGGCGGUCUGACAAGUCAGAUGUGAAAUCCCCGGGCUUAACCUGGGAACUGCAUUUGAAACUGUCAGGCUGGAGUCUUGUAGAGGGGGGUGGAAUUCCAGGUGUAGCGGUGAAAUGCGUAGAGAUCUGGAGGAAUACCGGUGGCGAAGGCGGCCCCCUGGACAAAGACUGACGCUCAGGUGCGAAAGCGUGGGGAGCAAACAGGAUUAGAUACCCCGGUAGUCCCUGUCUCUUAUACC